rnacentral:rRNA from 1 species
GAUGAACGCUGGCGGCGUGCCUAAUACAUGCAAGUCGAACGAACAGACGAGGAGCUUGCGCCUUUGACGUUAGCGGCGGACGGGUGAGUAACGCGUGGAUAACCUACUUAUAAUACUGGGAUAACUUCGGGAAACCGGAGCUAAUACCGGAUAAUAUAUUGAACCGCAUGGUGCAAUAGUGAAAGACGGUUUUGGUGUCACUUUUAGAUGGAUCCGCGCCGCAUUAGCUAGUUGGUAAGGUAACGGCUUACCAAGGCGACGAUGCGUAGCCGACCUGAGAGGGUGAUCGGCCACACUGGAACUGAGGCACGGUCCAGACUCCUACGGGAGGCAGCAGUAGGGAAUCUUCCGCAAUGGGCGAAAGCCUGACGGAGCAACGCCGCGUGAGUGAUGAAGGUCUUCGGAUCGUAAAACUCUGUUAUUGGGGAAGAACAAAUGUGUAAGUAACUAUGCACGUCUUGACGGUACCUAAUCAGAAAGCCACGGCUAACUACGUG